GUGCUUGCUUUGGUAGCACAUAUACUAAAAUUGAAAUGAUACAGAGAAGAUUAGCAUGGCCCCUGCACAAGGAUGACAUGCAAAUUCAUGAAGCAUUCCAUAUUUUU
rnacentral:snRNA from 1 species